rnacentral:lncRNA from 1 species
ACGCCUGUAAUCCCAGCUACUUGGGAGGUUGAGGCAGGAGAAUUGCUUGAACCCGGGACGCAGAGGUUACAGUGAGCCGAGAUUGUGCCAUUGCACUCCAGCCUGAGCAACAAAAACGAAACAAAUCUUUUCAGAUUGCUGGAGAUCUGAUGUGCUGCACAGUGAUGAUAAUUAAUAGUACUGUAUUGUGUGCUUGUAAUUUGCUAAAAGGAUAGAUCUUAAAUUCUACUCAUAAUCUGUGAUGCUAAUUAGACUGCGACUUAAUGAAUCAGUAAAGAAGUAUGCAAAAUAGGCUGGGUGCCAUGGCUCAUGCCUAUAAUCCCAACACUUUGGGAGGCCAAGGGGGGUGGAUUGCUUGAGCUCAGCAGUUCAAGACCAGCCUGGGCUCCUAAAUCCCUCAGGAUUUCCUGGGUAAUUAGGAGUGACUUUUGUACAAAUGAGGUGACCCUUGGUGGACUCCUGGAUGGGGGCUAGUCACCAGAAAGAUAAAGCCACGAUUGUAAGCUUGAAGCUUUCAGCUCUACCCUCUAUCCAUUGGAGAUGGGAGAAGGGCUGGAAAUUGAGUUAAUAAUUAAUCAUACCUCUGUGAUGAAGCCUCCAUAAAAAUCCCUGAACUAUAAGGUUUGGAGAGUUUCCAGG